UCUAGCUUAAACACACACAAUCACACCUGAUUCAGGAGCUAAGCAGAGUCAGGUCUGGUCCAAACUGGGAUGGGGGACCAGAAAGGGGAUAACCAGGUAGGGCUAAGA
rnacentral:rRNA from 1 species